rnacentral:rRNA from 1 species
UACGUAGGGUGCAAGCGUUAAUCGGAAUUACUGGGCGUAAAGCGUGCGCAGGCGGUGAUGUAAGACCGAUGUGAAAUCCCCGGGCUUAACCUGGGAACUGCAUUGGUGACUGCAUCGCUAGAGUAUGGCAGAGGGGGGGUGGAAUUCCACGUGUAGCAGUGAAAUGCGUAGAGAUGUGGAGGAACACCGAUGGCGAAGGCAGCCCCCUGGGCCAAUACUGACGCUCAUGCACGAAAGCGUGGGGAGCAAACGAAGGAUUAGAGGUACCCGGUAAGAUCCGAUGACCAA